rnacentral:rRNA from 1 species
GACGAACCGUGCGAACGUUGUUCGGAAUCACUGGGCUUAAAGGGCGCGUAGGCGGCUUCGCAAGUCAGGGGUGAAAUCUUUCGGCUCAACCGGAAAAGUGCCUCUGAUACUGCGGAGCUCGAGGGAGGUAGGGGCAGACGGAACUUCCGGUGGAGCGGUGAAAUGCGUUGAUAUCGGAAGGAACGCCGGUGGCGAAAGCGGUCUGCCGGCCCUCUACUGACGCUGAGGCGCGAAAGCCAGGGGAGCAAACAGG